CUCUACAGCCGUGCCUCCGUGGACGGCUCCGAUCCCGUGUGAUCGUGGACACUGAGCGGGGUUGGGCCUGGUUAGUUCUUGGAUCGGAGCCCUCCUGGGAAGACCAGGUGAAGUAGGUG
rnacentral:rRNA from 1 species